UACGGAAGGCAGCAGUGGGGAAUAUUGCACAAUGGGCGAAAGCCUGAUGCAGCUAUGCCGCGUGUAUGAAGAAGGCCUUAGGGUUGUAAAGUACUUUCAUCGGGGAGGAAAAACAAAACUAAUAAUUUUAUUUCUUGACGUUACCCGAAAAAGAAGCACCGGCUAACUCCGUGCCAGCAGCCGCGGUAAUACGGAGGGUGCUAGCGUUAAUCAGAAUUACUGGGCGUAAAGAGCACGUAGGUGGUUUUUUAAGUCAGAUGUGAAAUCCCUGGGCUUAACCUAGGAACUGCAUUUUGAGACUGAAAUACUAGAGUAUCGUAGAGGGAGGUAGAAUUCUAGGUGUAGCGGUGAAAUGCGUAGAUAUCUGGAGGAAUACCUGUGGCGAAAGCGGCCUCCUAAACGAAUACUGACACUGAGGUGCGAAAGCGUGGGGAGCAAACAGGGAUUAGAUACC
rnacentral:rRNA from 1 species